GACGAACGCUGGCGGCGUGCCUAACACAUGCAAGUUGAGCGCUAAAGCAUUGUACUUGUGCCAUCUGGGUGAGCAGCGAACGGGUGAGUAACGCGUGGAUAAUCUGCUUUUUAUUGGGGGACAAUAUUGGGAAACGAAUGCUAAUACCGCAUAAAAACUUUAAACACAGGGGGUAAGGGUGAAAGAUGCAAUUGCCGCAUGCAAAGGCGGUUGCGCGUUUUGUUAGCUGGUUGGUGAGGUAAAGGCCCACCAAGGCGGUGAUACAUAGCCUGCCUGAGAGGGUGGUUGGCCCCCUUGGGAAUGAGACACGGCCCAAACUCCUUCGGGGGGGAGCCAGAGGGCAACUUCGGCCAUGGGCGGCAGUCUGACCGCACAAAGCCGAGGGAGUGAAGAAGGGUUUCGGGUCGGAAAAGUCUGUUUGUAGGGAAGAAAGUGCGUGAGAGUGGAACGCUCCUCAAGUGACGGUAACUACCCAGAAAGCGACGGCUAACUACGUG
rnacentral:rRNA from 1 species